CAUGGCUGUCGUCAGCUCGUGUCGUGAGAUGUUGGGUUAAGUCCCGCAACGAGCGCAACCCACGUCGUUAGUUGCCAGCAUUCAGUUGGGCACUCUAGCGAGACCGCCGGUGAUAAACCGGAGGAAGGUGUGGAUGACGUCAAGUCAUCAUGCCCCUUACAUCCUGGGCUACACACGUACUACAAUGCUACGGACAAAGGGCCGCAAGCUCGCGAGAGUUAGCAAAUCCCAUAAACCGUGGCUCAGUUCAGAUCGUAGGCUGCAACUCGCCUACGCGAAGGAGGAAUCGCUAGUAAUCGCAGGUCAGCAUACUGCGGUGAAUACGUUCCCGGGCCUUGUACACACCGCCCGUCACACCAUGAAGUGGCCACGCCCGAA
rnacentral:rRNA from 1 species